CGGAAGUACAUUUAUGCAGACGAUACUGGAUGAGCCUUUCAAUUAUUUUUGUGUAGUUUAUUUGACCAUAAUGGAGAACUGACGCAAUGAAGACAAUGCAUACAGUUAAUCUGCUAUGUGACGAAAGUGAGGAUGUCAACUGUCCCCGUUACUAGAGUAACAGAGAAAACAAAAGAGGAAGACAACCACCAUUUGAGAAAGAAAGUGAGGAAAUGGGGGAACCUAUUCCUGCAGUAUAGAAUCAACCCUGCCAUAAUAACUCCAUGUCAGUUGCUGCAGGCUUCAACAUUGAUACAGAUGCCAUUUUGGAAACUGUGACAAAAAACUGAGUUUGCCAUCUUAACUAAGAAAGAAGUGAAAAACUGUUCCUGUAUAGGGAAGGCUAAACCCAAACCAGAUGCAAAAAAUGGCAUGUUGCCAUUUAGCAAUUUGACACACUGUAUUUUUUGUUGGGUAUUCAUAAAUUUCUUUGAUAGUUCCAGUAUCUGUGUUUCAUAUUCUUGUAUUGCAAAACAAUUCCAAACAUUCAUGAAGAGUUUCUGAGUUGUCAUGAACAAAUAGUCACAUUGAUUUUAUUUGGUUCAAGAACAGUUUUAGAAGAUUUCAUGAACAUGUACAUUCAUGAAAUAUCUACCCAUGAACAGAAAUCAUAAACUCAAAUAUUCAUGAAUAGUUCAUGGCUGCAUUAGUUCAACAAUUGUUUAUGAACUUAUUUUUUCAUGAUUUUUUGUGAAAUGGUCCAUUUAACGUUCAUGAAUAGUUCAUGCACUUGGUUCAUGAACAGUUCAAGAAAAGAACAUGAAUCAUUCAUGAACGAUUCAUAAUUAUUUCGCAGGGGAUUUGUCUGGCUGGAUUCUAACAUUUUUUUAUAUAUAAUUUUGUUGUAAUACUUGGUAUUAUUAUUGCUAGGCCCAAAGCUCAAGAUAUAUAUCUAAGAAUAUGUUUAUAAUGUUUUUGUUUUAUUUAUGCAUCUAAUCUUAUAAAUAAAUUUUGAAUAAUGGUAUGCUAAUGAAACCUCCAAAUUGAAUAAUACUAAAACUGUUUUUUUUUAGGAUUUUUUCAAAUGUAGAAAUGCAGACAGCUCUUCACCAUCAACUGUGACACUUUGUGUUAUUGUGUACAUAUGAAACUAAAUAACU